rnacentral:lncRNA from 1 species
AUGCUAACAUAUAAGACCAACUGAAAUAAGGACCAACGGGAGGCACGUUUGACAUUGUCAUAUCUGACGUUCAUAGGUUGCAAGGUCGUCAUAUCCCACGUUACGACAAGUUGAGAAGAGGAAGAUGACGUGGAUUCGACAAACUCAUCCUAAAGCAAUGCUAAUACGAUCUUAUACAAGCUAGUUAGAUCUUUCUACAUGGUAAAAAUAAACUAAAAUGUCAGAACAAUGUAGUUCUAUAUGUUUUCAUGUUGUGCAAGUGCCUCUCCCGGUUUUUAUAUUAUUUGUAGAGUUCCGACUAUGAAUGUGCCGCCCCAUUACAACGAUGUGCUAUAAUGAUGCGUCUAACUUAGGUAUAUUGAUCCCAAAAACUUGCUUACUUAAAUGGUCACAAGUCUAA